rnacentral:rRNA from 1 species
CCCCAGUAGUGGCGAGCGAACGGGGAAGAGCCCAAACCCGCCCUGUUACGGCAGGACGGGGGUUGUAGGACUGCGGCAUCGCAUGAACGAUGGCGAGCGGAACGCUCUGGAAAGGGCGACCAUAGACGGUGAUAGUCCGGUACGCGAAGCCAUAGGAAGCGUAGCAGUAUCCUGAGUAACGCGGGACACGUGAAAUCCUGCGCGAAUCAGCCGGGACCAUCCGGCAAGG